AGUGAACGCUGGCGGCAGGCCUAACACAUGCAAGUCGAGCGGCAGCGCGGGGGCAACCCUGGCAGCGAGCGGCGGAAGGGUGAGGAAUUCGUCGGAAUCUGCCUUUUUGUGGGGGAUAACGUAGGGAAACUUACGCUAAUACCGCAUACGACCUACGGGUGAAAGUGGGGGACCGCAAGGCCUCACGCAGAAAUAUGAGCCGACGACCGAUUAGCUAGUUGGUGGGGGAAAGGCCCACCAAGGCGACGAUCGGUAGCUGGUCUGAGAGGAUGAUAGGCCACACGUGGACUGAGACACGGCCCAGACUCCGACGGGAGGCAGCAGUGGGGAAUAUUGGACAAUGGGCGCAAGCCUGACUCAGCCAUGCCGCGUGUGUGAAGAAGGCCUUCGGGUUGUAAAGCACUUUUGUCCGGAAAGAAAUCUUCCAACUUAAUACGUUGGGAGGAUGACGGUACCGGAAGAAUAAGCACCGGCUAACUUCGUGCCAGCAGCCGCCGUAAGAC
rnacentral:rRNA from 1 species